rnacentral:rRNA from 1 species
ACUAAGCGUACACGGUGGAUGCCCUGGCAGUCAGAGGCGAUGAAGGACGUGCUAAUCUGCGAUAAGCGUCGGUAAGGUGAUAUGAACCGUUAUAACCGGCGAUUUCCGAAUGGGGAAACCCAGUGUGAUUCGUCACACUAUCAUUAACUGAAUCCAUAGGUUAAUGAGGCGAACCGGGGGAACUGAAACAUCUAAGUACCCCGAGGAAAAGAAAUCAACCGAGAUUCCCCCAGUAGCGGCGAGCGAACGGGGAGGAGCCCAGAGCCUGAAUCAGUGUGUGUGUUAGUGGAAGCGUCUGGAAAGGCGCGCGAUACAGGGUGACAGCCCCGUACACAAAAAUGCACAUACUGUGAGCUCGAUGAGUAGGGCGGGACACGUGGUAUCCUGUCUGAAUAUGGGGGGACCAUCCUCCAAGGCUAAAUACUCCUGACUGACCGAUAGUGAACCAGUACCGUGAGGGAAAGGCGAAAAGAACCCCGGCGAGGGGAGUGAAAAAGAACCUGAAACCGUGUACGUACAAGCAGUGGGAGCCUCUUUAUGGGGUGACUGCGUACCUUUUGUAUAAUGGGUCAGCGACUUAUAUUCUGUAGCAAGGUUAACCGAAUAGGGGAGCCGAAGGGAAACCGAGUCUUAACUGGGCGUUAAGUUGCAGGGUAUAGACCCGAAACCCGGUGAUCUAGCCAUGGGCAGGUUGAAGGUUGGGUAACACUAACUGGAGGACCGAACCGACUAAUGUUGAAAAAUUAGCGGAUGACUUGUGGCUGGGGGUGAAAGGCCAAUCAAACCGGGAGAUAGCUGGUUCUCCCCGAAAGCUAUUUAGGUAGCGCCUCGUGAAUUCAUCUCCGGGGGUAGAGCACUGUUUCGGCAAGGGGGUCAUCCCGACUUACCAACCCGAUGCAAACUGCGAAUACCGGAGAAUGUUAUCACGGGAGACACACGGCGGGUGCUAACGUCCGUCGUGAAGAGGGAAACAACCCAGACCGCCAGCUAAGGUCCCAAAGUCAUGGUUAAGUGGGAAACGAUGUGGGAAGGCCCAGACAGCCAGGAUGUUGGCUUAGAAGCAGCCAUCAUUUAAAGAAAGCGUAAUAGCUCACUGGUCGAGUCGGCCUGCGCGGAAGAUGUAACGGGGCUAAACCAUGCACCGAAGCUGCGGCAGCGACACUAUGUGUUGUUGGGUAGGGGAGCGUUCUGUAAGCCUGUGAAGGUGUACUGUGAGGUAUGCUGGAGGUAUCAGAAGUGCGAAUGCUGACAUAAGUAACGAUAAAGCGGGUGAAAAGCCCGCUCGCCGGAAGACCAAGGGUUCCUGUCCAACGUUAAUCGGGGCAGGGUGAGUCGACCCCUAAGGCGAGGCCGAAAGGCGUAGUCGAUGGGAAACAGGUUAAUAUUCCUGUACUUGGUGUUACUGCGAAGGGGGGACGGAGAAGGCUAUGUUGGCCGGGCGACGGUUGUCCCGGUUUAAGCGUGUAGGCUGGUUUUCCAGGCAAAUCCGGAAAAUCAAGGCUGAGGCGUGAUGACGAGGCACUACGGUGCUGAAGCAACAAAUGCCCUGCUUCCAGGAAAAGCCUCUAAGCAUCAGGUAACAUCAAAUCGUACCCCAAACCGACACAGGUGGUCAGGUAGAGAAUACCAAGGCGCUUGAGAGAACUCGGGUGAAGGAACUAGGCAAAAUGGUGCCGUAACUUCGGGAGAAGGCACGCUGAUAUGUAGGUGAAGUCCCUCGCGGAUGGAGCUGAAAUCAGUCGAAGAUACCAGCUGGCUGCAACUGUUUAUUAAAAACACAGCACUGUGCAAACACGAAAGUGGACGUAUACGGUGUGACGCCUGCCCGGUGCCGGAAGGUUAAUUGAUGGGGUUAGCGGUAACGCGAAGCUCUUGAUCGAAGCCCCGGUAAACGGCGGCCGUAACUAUAACGGUCCUAAGGUAGCGAAAUUCCUUGUCGGGUAAGUUCCGACCUGCACGAAUGGCGUAAUGAUGGCCAGGCUGUCUCCACCCGAGACUCAGUGAAAUUGAACUCGCUGUGAAGAUGCAGUGUACCCGCGGCAAGACGGAAAGACCCCGUGAACCUUUACUAUAGCUUGACACUGAACAUUGAGCCUUGAUGUGUAGGAUAGGUGGGAGGCUUUGAAGUGUGGACGCCAGUCUGCAUGGAGCCGACCUUGAAAUACCACCCUUUAAUGUUUGAUGUUCUAACGUUGGCCCCUGAUCGGGGUUGCGGACAGUGUCUGGUGGGUAGUUUGACUGGGGCGGUCUCCUCCUAAAGAGUAACGGAGGAGCACGAAGGUUGGCUAAUCCUGGUCGGACAUCAGGAGGUUAGUGCAAUGGCAUAAGCCAGCUUGACUGCGAGCGUGACGGCGCGAGCAGGUGCGAAAGCAGGUCAUAGUGAUCCGGUGGUUCUGAAUGGAAGGGCCAUCGCUCAACGGAUAAAAGGUACUCCGGGGAUAACAGGCUGAUACCGCCCAAGAGUUCAUAUCGACGGCGGUGUUUGGCACCUCGAUGUCGGCUCAUCACAUCCUGGGGCUGAAGUAGGUCCCAAGGGUAUGGCUGUUCGCCAUUUAAAGUGGUACGCGAGCUGGGUUUAGAACGUCGUGAGACAGUUCGGUCCCUAUCUGCCGUGGGCGCUGGAGAACUGAGGGGGGCUGCUCCUAGUACGAGAGGACCGGAGUGGACGCAUCACUGGUGUUCGGGUUGUCAUGCCAAUGGCACUGCCCGGUAGCUAAAUGCGGAAGAGAUAAGUGCUGAAAGCAUCUAAGCACGAAACUUGCCCCGAGAUGAGUUCUCCCUGACUCCCUGAGAGUCCUGAAGGAACGUUGAAGACGACGACGUUGAUAGGCCGGGUGUGUAAGCGCAGCGAUGCGUUGAGCUAACCGGUACUAAUGAACCGUGAGGCUUAACC